CCUACGGGUGGCAGCAGUGGGGAAUAUUGCACAAUGGGGGAAACCCUGAUGCAGCGACGCCGCGUGAGUGAAGAAGUAUUUCGGUUUGUAAACCUCUAUCAGCAGGGAAGAAGCAAGACGGUAUCUGACUAAGAAGCCCCGGCUAACUACGUGUCAGCAGCCGCGGUAUUACGUGGGGGGCAAGCGUUAUCCGGAUUUACUGGGUGUAAAGGGAGCGUAGACGGCUGGGCAAGUCUGAAGUGAAAGCCCAGGGCUCAACCCGGGGACUGCUUUUGAAAAUGUGGAGCUAGAGUGCUGGAGAGGUAGGUGGAAUUCCUAGUGUAGCGGUGAAAUGCGUAGAUAUUAGGAGGAACACCAGGGGCGAAGGCGGCUUGCUGGACAGUAACUGACGUUGAGGCGCGAAAGCGUGGGGAGCAAACAGGAUUAGAUACCCGGGUAGUC
rnacentral:rRNA from 1 species